GCUCAGUGAUGAUAUAAAGGCUAAUGUGACUUGACCAGCUGGGUUGCACCCUCAGCCCAUUCCAGUAAUACGGGUCUGUAAUCUUGGUGGACAACGCUGAGCUGUGCGUGUUCGCUGUAAGGGCAGGCCGACAGAAAAUCCACUUCCCUGCAUCCCUGGAAAAAUACAUCUUUGGGACGCAUCAGCUCUAAGCGAGUGUUUCUGUGAGCUGACGUGGGGCUGUGGGGAUAGGAUAAGACAAUGUGUCCAAGGUUUGGGUUGUAGGGGGCAGCCCAAGUUACAGCUGGUGAGAUGUGAGCACACAUCUUUGGUAAUCUGAUGACU
rnacentral:snoRNA from 1 species